UUUUAUGCAUUCUUAAACUGUAUUCAUCUUGUCUUCAUAUUUAAAUUAUGUUGUUAUAAUAUUCAUAAAAUUCAAAAUAUAUUAAUCAUAAGCAUUUAUUUAUCAUUCUCUAUAAAAGUACUCUCUCAAAAAAAUUGUGAAAAAUUUCUCUAUUUUUUCCUCUGUUUCUCUCCCUCCAAAGUCUUCUCUUCCCCCACCGUGCAAACACGCAAACAAAGCCAAAGAGUGGCUUCUGAAUGUAUGAGUCUUUGUUCUAAGACAUGGAUUGAUCACCCUCCCCAACACUAGUUAAAGAGUUCUGAAAUUUAGGAGCCUUGAAGUUGAAUUGCUCUGUUGUCCGAGUUUGUAGCCGAGAGGAAAAAGUCAUGGACACGCUAGUGUUCUGGACAGUUGUUGAUGUCAUUGGAAUCUCUCUAACCAUGCAUUCUUUACAUCUAUAAUAAUAAUGGUACAAGAAUUUAGAAUUGAAGAAUAUGUGAUGGAAAACAUAAUAUACGAAUAUUUCAAUGCAAAUUUGUAGGUGAAA